rnacentral:lncRNA from 1 species
GGGUUCACAUACUUUUUCUUGCCAUUGCAUAGCCCAACCAGAAGCCAUGGAUUACAGGCAACAUCUGCACUGAGCUAAAGGCUAAAGCUGCUGCUUUCAGGAGCGGGACACUAACCCGGACGCUUAUAAGAUAUCCCACUACUAGCCUCCGACGAACCAUCAAACAGAUCACUGGGGUCAGGGCCUGUUCCCCAGCGAGCUGUAUAUCCUCCGCCUCGGGCUCGUCAGAGUCAUGAAAGAAGAAAAGGGAUUCUGCUAGUACGUGACAUGAAACAUGGACCCCUAAGAGAGACAGCUUGAGGAUCCCACCGC